rnacentral:rRNA from 1 species
UACGUAGGGUGCGAGCGUUAAUCGGAAUUACUGGGCGUAAAGCGUGCGCAGGCGGUUCUAUAAGACAGAUGUGAAAUCCCCGGGCUCAACCUGGGAAUGGCAUUUGUGACUGUAGAGCUAGAGUACGGUAGAGGGGGAUGGAAUUCCGCGUGUAGCAGUGAAAUGCGUAGAUAUGCGGAGGAACACCGAUGGCGAAGGCAAUCCCCUGGACCUGUACUGACGCCAAUGAACAAAAGGGUGGGGAGAAAACAGAAUAAGAUACCGGGUAGUCC